AGUGCAAUUGCUAGAUCAUAUGAUUAUUCUAGGUUUAACACUUUGAAGAACUGCCAAACUGUUUUCCAGACUGACUACAUCAUUUUACAUAACCAACACCAGU
rnacentral:pre_miRNA from 1 species